CUUCGUAAAAAAAUCUAUACAAGUAAUGGUCGAAACUGAGAUCUACAAUAUUUACUCUCCUUAUCAGCCUCCACAGGUCUGCUAGUGUAUUCCUCAUCACUUCAAACUUCACAACCGCUUCAGUAUAGAAUCUUCCUACAAAACAUGGAUCAUACGACUCUUGUUGUUCAGGGAGAAGUUCAGUUAAGUCCCAGGUUCAAUCCUCCUCCUCUACGAUCGACAAUGACACCACGCCAUCCACCAUAUCCAUCGGUCACCCUUUACGUGCCAAUUGAUAGACUAUUGACAGAAACAACAAUAACUUAUCUGUGGUGCAAAAAGGUCUCACUACUAGAAACAAUAACUCUUACCAAACAAAGAAAAUGGAGAAUAGGGUCAUCCAACACUGACUUGGUACUAGACCAAGUCAAUUCCUAUUUACAUUUGAUUUACAUUUGUAAGUUUCAAAACCAAACCCUCUUAGUAAAAAGGGGAGGUAAU
rnacentral:lncRNA from 1 species